UACGUAGGGACCGAGCGUUGUCCGGAAUCAUUGGGCGUAAAGAGCGUGUAGGCGGCCACUUAAGUCCUGCGUGAAAUCUUGCGGCUCAACCGCAAGCGGUCGUGGGAAACUGGGUGGCUAGAGUGCGGGAGAGGAGAGUGGAAUUCCUGGUGUAGCGGUGAAAUGCGUAGAUAUCAGGAGGAAUACCGGUGGUGUAGACGGCUCUCUGGACCGCAACUGACGCUGAGACACGAAAGCGUGGGUAGCAAACAGG
rnacentral:rRNA from 1 species